rnacentral:rRNA from 1 species
UACGUAGGAGGCGAGCGUUGUCCGGAGUUACUGGGCGUAAAGCGCACGUAGGCGGAUUGUUAAGUCAGGGGUGAAAUCCUGGAGCUCAACUCCAGAACUGCCUUUGAUACUGGCAAUCUUGAGUCCGGAAGAGGUGAGUGGAACUCCUAGUGUAGAGGUGGAAUUCGUAGAUAUUAGGAAGAACACCAGUGGCGAAGGCGGCCCACUGGAUCGGUACUGACGCUGAGGUGCGAAAGCGUGGGGAGCAAACGGG